GUAGACUUAAUUGUCGAAGUAUAAUGCAAAACUACAUUCAUAUACUUCAUUGCACCACACAUUCUAUAGAUGUGUGUUUAUUUCAUUUAACUUUGGAUGACUGCCGUGACAACUGCAUCUCCAACAUUUUUACUGAAAGCCAUAAAAAAUAUGAAAACCCAAAUAUAACUUGUAGCUUACUGUUGCAUGCGCCCUUGAUUCAACAAUUUCUACAUUGUUGUAGUGGAAGGAAGCUGAAAUGGCAGCUUGCUGGAGGAGAAUAGAUCCUAUGGACAGAGUUGGUGCAACUAGGCAACCCUAAAAUACUUCGUAUUCGUUAGAAUUGCAACAAGUUGCUUGGCUCUGCAAAUUAAAGCGAUAAUGCUGAUAUUGUGUCAACCGUAAUCCGAGGCACAUAAACCACACUUCUCAGACCGAAUGCUGUUGCCUAUGAGAAGUUGAAAAGAAAACUAUUAUCAGCUAUUCUAGUAUAACUUUUAGAAAAUUAAUUUUUCAGUGGUCAUAUGAAAAAUAUGGUUUAUCCUUGCUUAUUCACUGAGGCUGCAAAAUAAGUUGAUAUAAGAAUAUAGUAGUGUUUAGAUACCGAACCUGUUUUACGUUGUCAUAAACUGCUGAAGGCUGAGUGAAAUCAACAACGACUCCUGUCUCUUUUGACUGAUAGAA